rnacentral:rRNA from 1 species
CCUACGGGAGGCAGCAGUGGGGAAUAUUGGACAAUGGGGGGAACCCUGAUCCAGCGACGCCGCGUGAGUGAAGAAGUAUUUCGGUAUGUAAAGCUCUAUCAGCAGGGAAGAAAAUGACGGUACCUGACUAAGAAGCCCCGGCUAAAUACGUGCCAGCAGCCGCGGUAAUACGUAGGGGGCAAGCGUUAUCCGGAUUUACUGGGUGUAAAGGGAGCGUAGACGGUGCAGCAAGUCUGAUGUGAAAGGGCGGGGCCCAACCCCGGGACUGCAGUGGAAACUGUUGGACUGGAGUACAGGAGAGGUAAGCGGAAUUCCUAGUGUAGCGGUGAAAUGCGUAGAUAUUAGGAAGAACACCAGUGGCGAAGGCGGCUUACUGGA